AUUGAACGCUGGCGGCAGGCUUAACACAUGCAAGUCGAGCGAGCGGCGGACGGGUGAGUAAUGUCUGGGAAACUGUCUGAUGGAGGGGGAUAACUACUGGAAACGGUAGCUAAUACCGCAUCCCAUCAGAUGUGUCCAGAUGGGAUUAGCUAGUAGGUGGGGUAAUGGCUCACCUAGGCGAUGAUCCCUAGCCGGUCUGAGAGGAUGACCGGCCACACGGGAACGGAGACGCGGUCCAGACUCCGACGUGAGGCAGCAGUGGGGAAUAUUGCACAAGGGGCGCAAGCCUGAUGCAGCCAUGCCGCGUGUGUGAAGAGGGCCUUCGGGUUGUAAAGCACUUUCAGCGAGGAGGCGUUACUCGCAGAAGAAGCACCGGCUAACUCCGUGCCAGCAGCCGCGGUAAUUC
rnacentral:rRNA from 1 species